rnacentral:rRNA from 1 species
GACGAACGCUGGCGGCGUGCUUAACACAUGCAAGUCGAACGGAAAGGCCCUGCUUUUGUGGGGUGCUCGAGUGGCGAACGGGUGAGUAACACGUGAGUAACCUGCCCUUGACUUUGGGAUAACUUCAGGAAACUGGGGCUUAUACCGGAUAGGAGCUCCUGCUGCUUGGUGGGGGUUGGAAAGUUUCGGCGGUUGGGGAUGGACUCUCGGCUUAUCAGCUUGUUGGUGGGGUAGUGGCUUACCAAGGCUUUGACGGGUAGCCGGGCUGAGAGGGUGACCGGCCAAAUUGGGACUGAGAUACGGCCCAGACUCCUACGGGAGGCAGCAGUGGGGAAUAUUGCACAAUGGGCGGAAGCCUGAUGCAGCAACGCCGCGUGCGGGAUGACGGCCUUCGGGUUGUAAACCGCUUUCGCCUGUGACGAAGCGUGAGUGAAGGUAAUGGGUAAAGAAGCACCGGCUAACUACGUG